UACUCCCUGUGUGUGUAUAUACCUGGUGUUUCUGUCUUGUCUUUCAUUAAUUUCUAUGUGUGUUAUGAUCCCUCGUUGUAGGCCUACUUGUCGUGUUUCCCUGCGCCAUUGGAUUUCUGUUUGGACAGCUUUUGUGUUUCUGGACUUUGUCAUCAGCCACUCAGUUUGUGGUCCAGGCUGAUGUAUGUUUACGUCUGGAGAGGGGUCAUGUCCUGACAAAUCAUGGAUAUGCCAUGACUGAUAUUACCAAAUUAGGAAGCCAAAUCAGUACACUUCAGGAAGUGCUGGGGGCAGGAUUGCUUCAUAUGACUACUUAACUGUAAGACUACAGAAGAAGCAUUCAUGCAGAAGUGGAAAGCAACAGAGAACAAGGCUAACAGCAGAAUGGCUUUUUGUUUUUACAAAGUUUUGUACACUAUUUCAUCAGUAAAUACAUGUUUGAGAGAAAUC